rnacentral:misc_RNA from 1 species
UGAAAUUGUAAAGGCGAAAACACUGAACCUACAAACUAACUUGUACAAGCCCAAGUGAAACCCAGACAUAUAUUUCAUUUUGAUCAUAGCCAAAAGGCCGAGGAACGUUUAACAGCAGGCUUAAACAGUUCCAAAGUAGCCUAGAAAAGAGACAUAUCUGGUGGAGGACCAUACACACUCUUCCACGACAACGGCACAGUCCAGCUUCCACCUUCAUUACCUUGAGAACUGUUAGGUCUGAGCCCCAGAGUUUUUGAUACCGCAUCAGCCAAAUGGAAGGCAUCGGGAAUGUUGUCCCCCUCCGAGCAAUAACACAGUAGACAAGUAACCUUCAGACCUUUGGCCUUAAAACAAGAGAACAAUGCAGCAUAAGGCAAACUGGCAUAGUAAUCCUCAUCUCCCAGCUCUUCAAAAGGCAAUUCCUCAACCUCCGAGGCAGCAUUUUUGGCUAAAUCAUCUAAAUGCUUCCACAUUCUCUGUGUAGGAUUAUACUCAGGUAAUCUCUUCCAGCCCUGUUUUUCACAGUGAUCGUCUGUUCCAUCCGACUUGGAACUAGAAAGGUAAUGAAUCUGCGAUCCACUUGACAUAUCAAUGCUCUGCCAACGCCCAAACUCCAAGCUAGAGAGCACAACAACAUGUUUCUUCCCAUUUGCUGCAGCAAAAUUUGCCAAGUUCCUAGCAAAUUCAACCAUCAUGCCCUUAACAAUCGGAGACCUCUGUUGUACAAGAGCCAAUGCAUCAGGGGAUGAUUCAUAUACUUCAAGAGGAAGAGCGAGUUCACCAGGUGGAGAAGGCCAAUAAGCAUCAUUCCCAACGCAAGGAACGACAUUUGGAUCAUCCAAAUAUCCAAUUCUCUUCGCUUUCAACGAAGCUACUAGAAGAUCCACCGCUAAUUGCCCUACAUUCCCUAUGGACAGCGCCGGCAGAACCAAAGUGGAAUUAUCCGAACUCAAAUUCUUUCCAUCCUCAGUAUAAAACUCCAUUAAUUGAAACUAGCGUUGAAUUGUUAAGCGCACUGAUUCGGAGUUAGCCAAGUUCUUUGCCCUACAUUCCCUAUGGACAGCGCCGGCAGAACCAAAGUGGAAUUAUCCGAACUCAAAUUCUUUCCAUCCUCAGUAUAAAACUCCAUUAAUUGAAACUAGCGUUGAAUUGUUAAGCGCACUGAUUCGGAGUUAGCCAAGUUCU